CAGAGGGUGCAAGCGUUAAUCGGAAUUACUGGGCGUAAAGCGCGCGUAGGUGGUUUGUUAAGUUGAAUGUGAAAUCCCCGGGCUCAACCUGGGAACUGCAUCCAAAACUGGCAAGCUAGAGUAGGGUAGAGGGUGGUGGAAUUUCCUGUGUAGCGGUGAAAUGCGUAGAUAUAGGAAGGAACACCAGUGGCGAAGGCGACCACCUGGACUCAUACUGACACUGAGGUGCGAAAAGCGUGGGGAGCAAACAGGAUU
rnacentral:rRNA from 1 species